AUUGAACGCUGGCGGCAGGCCUAACACAUGCAAGUCGAGCGGAUGAAGGGAGCUUGCUCCUGGAUUCAGCGGCGGACGGGUGAGUAAUGCCUAGGAAUCUGCCUGGUAGUGGGGAUAACGUCCGGAAACGGGCGCUAAUACCGCAUACGUCCUGAGGGAGAAAGUGGGGGAUCUUCGGACCCCACGCUAUCAGAUGAGCCUAGGUCGGAUUAGCUAGUUGGUGGGGUAAAGGCCUACCAAGGCGACGAUCCGUAACUGGUCUGAGAGGAUGAUCAGUCACACUGGAACUGAGACACGGUCCAGACUCCUACGGGAGGCAGCAGUGGGGAAUAUUGGACAAUGGGCGAAAGCCUGAUCCAGCCAUGCCGCGUGUGUGAAGAAGGUCUUCGGAUUGUAAAGCACUUUAAGUUGGGAGGAAGGGCAGUAAGUUAAUACCUUGCUGUUUUGACGUUACCAACAGAAUAAGCACCGGCUAACUUCGUG
rnacentral:rRNA from 1 species